GCUCUGUUAUAUGCUGGCCCAAGGAACACCUCUUGCUUUACUUUGCCAUUUUUUUCAACUCCAGGGCUUUUGCACUGAACUACAUCUCCAAUCCUUAAAAAAACAAAACAAAACAAAACUUUCAUUUGCCCAAAGUGAUCUGAGGAUGAUUUUUCAAAAGUCUCCAGCACAGAGCUCGGCUUUGUUCUGAUUUUUUUCCCCAACAGUAGAUGUUCUCACACUCAGUCUCCCCUUGCAUGGAGAAUAUCGAGGAGACCAUGGAGCUACCGAGCGCCUCUGACUAUGGGCUGACAUCCCCGGGGGGUAUCGCAGCCCGCCCCCCAGAGCCCCUCGUGUUCCAUGACUGUCUUCCCAGCUCUUUCCUCAGUGCCUGGGCCUCACUGCGGCAUUGUCCCUUCUUUACAGUCCGUCCGGUUCCUGCCUUGGUCUACUGCCUGGUGUCUGACAUCCUGCUAGGCUCUUGUGGUGCCGCUCCACCCCUCCACCGUGCACCAUCGUGUCCUCCGCUCGACCUGCUGUUGUUCUGUCCCCUGCUCAUCCUGCUCCUCUCACUGGAGGUGUCCUGGGCUCUCGUCUUCCAUUUCACAAGCCUCCCCUUCCACGUUCCUGUGGCUGAGCCCACUCUACCUCACCUGAGAAGACAGAGGGUCUGGGAAUGUAGAUCUCCCCACUGACCCUCAGCUGCUGCCCAAUGCUGGUCCAGGCCCCGUCCUCUGCCUGGGGUGCCCUGAAGAUCCCACGCUCCAGACCACCCUGGUAACGUCAGGCAGAGCUGCCUUCUGGGGACUGUUCAUGAAGCACACUUUGCUUGCUUCCGCCCUCAUCCUGCUGCUCCCUUGCCUCCCUCAUGAGUUUCUCUGGGGGCUCCACCUUCAGAAUCUUCUAUGAGGGAGCCUCCGCUAGGACACCGAGGAGGGGAAAUGGAAGAGGCACAACUGGUGGAGAUGCUUCAGUACAAGCCUGUCAUUUGCCAGAGCAGAGGCUCUGGGGGAGCUGAGCCAGGAUCGCAUCUCCCCUGCCCCUCAGAGUGUAGACCCUCUCUGUUCCAAGUGACAGCAGCCAGCUAGUCAUCUGUCAAUCACGAGUAUACUGGUCUGAACUGGGCAUCUCUCCUCAGCCUUCUGUCCACUGGUCUUCUGGAAACAUGGACUGGUCUUGCAGAAUGGAGAUGAGAGCCAGGAUACUUACAAAGGUGGUUGUGGUCUAAAGGACACCCCCAUAUCCCAUACCCUCUGCUUGAUCUGAGUGAUACUCCAGGGCACUUACUCAAAACCUGCCCCAAAUCUGGGGCAUAGGGGAACUCACACUGAAGUAAGAGUCACAAUCCUUGAGCCCUGGUCCUGGCUCAGCCCUGGCUAGCUCUGCGACCUCUUUUCUCAAUGCAUUAUGGUCUCUGAGAGCUCUCCAAUUCUACAGGUCCAUGCUUUCCUAGGAUGUGUUCAGUGCCUCCAGAGAGCUGAUCGGCUUGUUAGGGAGGCACGACACAAUUAGAUGCUUGGAUAUGACAGACUGUAGCACAAAGCUGAAAUCAGUCCAAUUAAGAGAGAAAACACACAGCAGAGCAAACAAGUGCAGCAACUGAUUAGUCCAUCUGUGGGGCAGACUCUUGAGGAAAGGGUUGGAGGAGGAAUCUGAGCAAAGCCUGAGAGCAGGGAUGUUGCUUGGAUGGGGAAUGGAAAAAAAAAAAAAACCAUAGUUUUAUGCAUAGAAUUGUUACCUGGGUGUGAAAUGAGGGCAGAGAUGGGGGAGAACAGAGAAUGGAGUCUGGGUUAUCAUUUAAUUGCUAUCCUGACUCUAAGCGAAUACACCACCAUGCAGGGCUCCAGUCAUAAUAUGCUACUUAUUUACUGGGCUGUAUUUCUAGUCUCCAAGGCUUACCACACGUCAUUGGAAUUCUGACAUUCAGAAAUGGCUUUUCUGACCCCCUAAAUUUUAAUUAAAGUAAUAAUGUUACUACCGGAAGCUGUAAUUUAUCUUUCCCUUGUGCUUGCAAAGAAGAAAAAGGCAACUUUGGAUAAGUUUUUUUUUUCCUGGUUCCUGUUUUUGGUCUUUGUACUUUGGGGGUGCAGCUGGGGUGGGGUAGUCUUCCGUCUGGAUGUGCAGACCACACUGCUGUUGUUUGGUGGUCUCUGAGGGGCAGGGGGUACUGGCUGUGUGCAGUAACCAUGCUGCUGGACACCCACAAGUGAGGUGGAUUUUUACAUUCAGAAGCAGCUCCUGGGCUAAAGGGUGAGACUUUCUACAAAGACCCUUUGGCGUUGGACAGUGUGUGCGUGUGGAUGUUUCUGCAUCGGGAGAAAUAAGCAAUGAGUGAUUUAGGUGAGAACUUUCCAUGCAAUUAACUUCCUCCAGACUAAUGCAGGUGCUGCAGGGAACCGCUGGGCCAGUCUGCUUAGUAAAUAUCCACCCCCAGAUGUAGAGUAACUCAAUGGAAAUAAUUAUAUGGGGUCAAUUAAGCAGAAACCCAGACCUCCUCCUGUUAGCCUGCUGGAAUUUGUUAUUUCCACCAGCCAGAUUUGCUCAGGAUUUCAGUGCUUUACCUCUGGAAAAGGGCCCCUCAUGGAAUGCCUCUCAGUGUGGCCAUUGCUGGAGCUGGUGGCUGCUACUCCCGGCCAGGCCGAGCACCCUCAGGCCAGCCUCCAAGAGCCUGGCUAGAAUGCUGGCUCUACCACCUGGUGAGCCUGUGGUCUUAGGCAAGGUAGGAACACUCUCAACCUUAGUUUUCAUUGUGGGGAUAAGAGGGCCCAUUUACAUCCCAGCACUAACUGAAAAAUGCUGGUAAAACUCUUUAAAGAAGGCGUGGGGCAUACUAAAUAGAAACUUUUGUUACUAUAAUGUUGGUUCUCAACAGAAAAGGGGCAUUAGUAUACCUGUAUUACCUAUGUCAGGGCAGUGGAAAAUCUCUAUGAAGAGUCAAUCAUGCUGAAUUUAAUAAUAUGCAGAAUUUACGCCAACAUGUGAGUUUAUAAAACAGAACAAAUGAAGGUAACAUAAGUGCUGGACAACAACAGGAUUACCAGAACUGAGUGGACCUUAAAGACACCAUUAGUUAGUUCAUUAGUAGAUCACUCAUGGUUGUCACAAAGGCUGGGAGGACUGGCGAAGACAAACGUGGGGACCACUGUCAGCUUGCAAAUGAAUCGGAAAUGAAGUGACAGUGAGUCUGAAAUGCUA
rnacentral:lncRNA from 1 species